CAAUAGCAGGUACGAAAGCUCACAAGCUCACAAAUGUGGAGAGAAAGGUGAAAUAGGGGAGAAAUAUAUCUAAGUCCAAGCUUAAAAGCCCAUUUCGCAACUCAAAAAGUGAGUUGCGAAAAUUUGGCAAGGUGAAUUUCACCUUGCGAAAUGCACAUUUUGGCAAGAUGCAAUUUACAACCUCUCGGGAUUGCACUUUCGCAAGGAGUAACCAGUGCGAAAAUUUUCGCAAGUCAUUUUUCACCUUGCGAAAUUGUUUUCAAAGCAAAUAUCAAAAUGCAACCUCUCGGGAUUGGUUUUUAAGGGGAGUAGCCAGUGCAAAAAUUUGGCAAGGUGAAUCUUCACCUUGCGAAAUUUUUUCUUCAUGCUUACCAAGGAUUUGAUUCUUUUUAAAUUCAUUUUCAAACUUCAAUUUUGUAGUUUUAACACUCCUCAGUUCAUCCCCGUACUUAGACAAAUUUUUAAAAAACAAUUCAUGGCAAAAAAAAAAAAAAAAACCCUUUUUAAAGCCUUCUCAACUUCAUUUUUCAUGCAUAAAACACUAUUCCCCUUGCAUUUCCUCUCUAGGCCGCAUGCUUCAUUGUUCCAAGGUGAGUAAUUUUUCAUUUUUCUCCAUUUUUGGCUCCUUAAAUUGGUUGUUUAUGUCAUUUCUAUGUUUUAGGGACCAUAAACAUGCAUUUUCAUCCAUUAAAACCAUUUCAAAAAUCCAUUUUUUCAAAUCAAAGACCCACAUGGCCGGCCACCAUUUUUGCAAAAAACUCUAUCUUGCAAUGUGUUUUAGGCUCCCAAACUUACUCCAUUGCAUUUAGAAUCAUGUUUCCAUUAAAACCAUACCCUUUUUCUGAAUUUUAAACCGUUAAAAAUGAAAACUCAAAUUCAAAGUAAGCAUUGGAGAAGAAGAUGAAUAGUGCCUGUGAAUAGUGCUGCGUGAAUAGUGCCCGUUGCCAAAUU
rnacentral:lncRNA from 1 species